UUCUGUAGGUGGAAACCUGCGGAUGGAUCAUUACCGAGUUUACAACUCCCAAACCCAAUCGUGAACGUUACCAAACUGUUGCCUCGGCGGGAUCUCUGCCCCGGGUGCGUCGCAGCCCCGGACCAAGGCGCCCGCCGGAGGACCAACCAAAACUCUUAUUGUAUACCCCCUCGCGGGUUUUUUUAUAAUCUGAGCCUUCUCGGCGCCUCUCGUAGGCGUUUCGAAAAUGAAUCAAAACUUUCAACAACGGAUCUCUUGGUUCUGGCAUCGAUGAAGAACGCAGCGAAAUGCGAUAAGUAAUGUGAAUUGCAGAAUUCAGUGAAUCAUCGAAUCUUUGAACGCACAUUGCGCCCGCCAGUAUUCUGGCGGGCAUGCCUGUCCGAGCGUCAUUUCAACCCUCGAACCCCUCCGGGGGGUCGGCGUUGGGGAUCGGCCCUGCCUUGGCGGUGGCCGUCUCCGAAAUACAGUGGCGGUCUCGCCGCAGCCUCUCCUGCGCAGUAGUUUGCACACUCGCAUCGGGAGCGCGGCGCGUCCACAGCCGUUAAACACCCAACUUCUGAAAUGUUGACCUCGGAUCAGGUAGGAAUACCCGC
rnacentral:rRNA from 1 species